rnacentral:piRNA from 1 species
UGCAUGGCCAGCGGUUAUUUAAUAUCUGC